UUCCAGCCUUGUGUGAUUGACAGGUGAAUAUCAGCCAGACAUGCAGUGUAGGCUGGUUUUAAGCUUUACUUACUUUUUCAGGAAAGCAGACAGAGCCCUGACAAACUCCUGCUGGUCGACAUCUUUCACCGUGACACUGGGCAUCUAAAAGGCAAAUUGGAGACAGAGAUUGCGCCUCUGAGACAACCUGAACUUUUUCAUUGAAGAUGUGGUUUUUAUCAGGAAUGCCGUGGUCAACCAUAGAAGCUCCCCAGUGAGAAGAGAGCCAUGGGAAAAGCCUCAAACUUGAUCCCGGUUGUGAGGAUGUGGUCCGGUCCAUUUUGCGCAGACGUCUCAAGACGAAAUAUUUCAUGUCGGACAGCAUCGUCACUGAUAAAAAAAACGUCUGUUCACAGACGCUGAAAAUUACAACACUGCAGACCUGAAGUCAGGAGACGAGGAACACGUUGAUAGUUACAUUUAUAAAAAGACAGCAAAGUGUCAUCACUUUAAAGGUUUUUCAUUUGUACAGACGUUGAAGCUCCUCACAGCAACUCAAAAUUGUUAUUGUUAGACAGAAAUAUGUUGGUGAGAAAGGAUGUGCAUUUUGUUAUAGGGCUGCAACGAACAAUACUUUUCAUUAUAAUUUUCUCAAUCGAUUAAUCAUUUGGUCCCUAAAAUGUCAGGAAAUAGUGAAGGAUCCUUCUUGAGUCUAAAGAUGGUUCCGUCAUCGAAGUUUACUUUCAUAAGACAAAGAAAAGCAUCAAAUCAUCACAACUGAGGAAAUGUUUGGGAAAAAACCCUAAACUAAUGGAUGAAUGAUUUGCACCUUGUUCUGUUUUUUAUUAACUGGAAUUAUGCCAAUAAAAUCCAAGCAAUGGUGAAAA